GUUCUGGUGCAUUUAUGUCAAUUGAUUCUGAGACUAACGUGAAAUAUAAAGAAUUAGUUGAAAGGAAUCGUCCAAGGGAACAAAUUGUGAUUUCGAGUGAUGAUAAUGAAGACAGUCUCUUUCAGACUUCGGUUAACAUGCG